rnacentral:rRNA from 1 species
GAUGAACGCUGGCGGCGUGCCUAAUACAUGCAAGUCGAGCGAACAGACGAGGAGCUUGCUCCUCUGAUGUUAGCGGCGGACGGGUGAGUAACACGUGGAUAACCUACCUAUAAGACUGGGAUAACUUCGGGAAACCGGAGCUAAUACCGGAUAAUAUGUUGAACCGCAUGGUUCAACAGUGAAAGACGGUCUUGCUGUCACUUAUAGAUGGAUCCGCGCCGCAUUAGCUAGUUGGUAAGGUAACGGCUUACCAAGGCAACGAUGCGUAGCCGACCUGAGAGGGUGAUCGGCCACACUGGAACUGAGACACGGUCCAGACUCCUACGGGAGGCAGCAGUAGGGAAUCUUCCGCAAUGGGCGAAAGCCUGACGGAGCAACGCCGCGUGAGUGAAGAAGGUCUUCGGAUCGUAAAACUCUGUUAUUAGGGAAGAACAAAUGUGUAAGUAACUAUGCACGUCUUGACGGUACCUAAUCAGAAAGCCACGGCUAACUACGUG